rnacentral:rRNA from 1 species
UACGUAGGGUGCGAGCGUUGUCCGGAAUUACUGGGCGUAAAGAGCUCGUAGGUGGUUUGUCGCGUUGUUCGUGAAAACUCACAACUCAAUUGUGGGCGUGCGGGCGAUACGGGCAGACUGGAGUACUGCAGGGGAGACUGGAAUUCCUGGUGUAGCGGUGAAAUGCGCAGAUAUCAGGAGGAACACCGGUGGCGAAGGCAGGUCUCUGGGCU